GGACGUGAGAGUCUGGGCCAAGAAGGAUCCACACCUGUGAGCGGCCAAGGACUGAUUGUUACCCCUGGACGUGAGAGUCUGGGCCAAGAAGGAUCCACACCUGUGAGCGGCCAAGGCUCGUUUCCCAAGGAGAUAACUAUAGCCGCAAUACAAUGUUUGACCAAUCACACUUGUAUAAUUAUAUAAUUAUGAUGAAAUGAAGAGCAUCAAGUGAUGUGGGUAACCGGAUGCCCAGGAAAAGGAAGAUCUCAGCCAGCAUUUAAGGCACACCCACAAAGCGUCCUGGAAUGAGGUGCAACAACUCCCGGCAGAUAGAGAUCCAUGACUCGUCGACUGUGUUGCCUAAUAAAGACGUGAUACAGUAUCUGGUAUCUGGACUGGGCGCAAAGCACCAGACGCAUUUAAGGUUCGGCAGUGGACUUGCGAAAUGCUAACUGUGUUGCCUAAUAAAGACGUGCUGGUGGAGGAACGGAAGAUGGAUGUUGGGUUGUUGGACUGCAGUACUCCCGGGAUACUUCUGUUACCCCGAAUAAGCCAACACCAGCUGGACUGGGCGCAAAGCACCAGACGCAAUUAAGGUUCGGCAGUGGACUUGCGAAAUGCUAACUGUGUUGCCUAAUAAAGACGUGCUGGUGGAGGAACGGAAGAUGGAUGUUGGGUUGUUGGACUGCAGUACUCUCGGGAUACUUCUGUUACCCCGAAUAAGCCAACACCAGCUGGACUGGGCGCAAAGCACCAGACGCAAUUAAGGUUCGGCAGUGGACUUGCGAAAUGCUACAGAUGCAUGACUCGUCGACUGUGUUGCCUAAUAAAGACAUGGUACAGUAUUUGGUGGAGGAACUAAAGGUGAGCUUUAGAUAGUCUAUUAUUGAUUAAACCUGGUACUCGAGGACAAUUUCCUCAUUCCCCUGUUCUCAGUUAUUCAUUAUAAUUAUGUUUGGUUUGUUUGGUUAUGUACUAUGUGAUCAGAUGUCGUAGCUUUUGGCUAACCUAACACUACAACGCUGGGAGGUUCCCAGUCGUUACAUAGAGUAACCUAAGUCAUACCGCCAGUGCUGUACGUACGUGCUGAUCAACCCUCCGACUCCUAGCAUCGGUGAUGCAAGUGUGUCCAGUGCAAUGUUCUCGAUUCUCAUUUGAAGGAUGGUUCUACUCAACCAUGUCUUAUAUAUUUAUGACUUGGACAAUGUUGCUUACCGCAGUAAAGUUCACCCAUGGUUGUACCGCUUAGGCGCACAGGUAUUACAUGUUCAUCAGCAGAUAUGUGUACGGUACGUCUCUUGUUAUGAUCGAUAUACACUUUGAGACAACGCAAUGUUUUUACAGAGUGAACACGUGACAAAUAAGAUCAUACGUUUAAAAUUGCCGCAAACAUUGGAACAUGGAUAGUAACAGUUUGUUUGCAGUUAUUAGUGAAAAGGAAAAUUGUGACAUAGAGAGGGACGUGAUGUUUCUCUACAUUAGCUAUAGUUGCUCAAUGGGUUGAAAGAUGAUUUCAGAUGCUUGUGUGACAGGUGUGCCACCUCUCUCCAGUGCCGGCCCAGGCUUGGGACUCUGUCUCAGACUCAGUAUUAUCUUGUGUCGCUUCGUUGUCACUACCACUUACAAGCGUCUUGCCACCCUCGACAUUACAGCAUGUUUCAGUUUUGACGUAAAAAAUUACAUAUAUUAAUUUGACACCA